UGUUAACUUGGAAUCACCGAGAGAAACGAGGCCGUCUUCCUCCUCUAGUCAUGUUUGAAGAUCAAGGAACAUCAUCACAAAAGACUAUUUAGAUUUAGAAAUUUUCAUGUUAGACCAUGUGUGGAAAAUACCAUUGUGUUUAUUUCCUUUUGGUGAAACAUGUUAUGUGCACUUUGUGGAACAUAACUUAUAUUUUGGAUUUGUGUUUAGCACUCUUAGCUUCAUUGUGAAAAAUUGAUGGAUAUAUAUAUUUAUGCAAGUAUUUGGUGGUUGAAUGGAUUUUCU
rnacentral:lncRNA from 1 species